UUAGUUUUUGCAUCACCUUUUAGCCGUUUAUUCUUUUAUCGAUCAUAAUACUCGUUAUUAUUUCGGGUUGAAUAGCUAAUCCUGCAUAAUUAAGUUUUAAACCACACACUGCUGAGCGCAUUUCAUGAACUGGGACUCCAACCCAGGUUCUACGGCGACAUGCAAUUGCGGCACCUAGCUAACUGGGCGAGUUUGCACUUAAUAAUAUUUGAUAAUUGAUUUUGAUCCCCAAGAUUUACCAGUGAAAUUAAUAUUGUGAACACGAUUCAUAUGUAGAUGUAAAUAAAAGAUUGAUGCAAUUCGACUUGCUAUGUAGAAGCCCAAUUCAGCAAUUGUUAGGCUUAGAGCAUCAUGUUUGAGAUGCGCGACAUCAUUUCAUGAGCUUUCUUUCCCUUGCAUAGCUGCAUACGAAGUUACCUUUUGCUGGUCAGUUGAAUUGUACACAUUUAAUAUUUUUAUUCAACACCUUACUCAUCUUUUCUAUACCCUGGGAUGCGCCCUCUUGGUCUACCUUCCUACAUAGGUGGGAUCUCCUAGAUUGCGGGUUUCAACACUGGAUCCAUUUUUUUGUGUGCAUCGAAUCCUUUUUAUCCCUCUAUCUCACACCCUCCGCAUUUGCCAGUUGCCACAUCCAUUUUGAGUCAUUAUUUAUUAUUACUUGCCCAAAUGGGGUUGAUUUUUAUGUAUAAAUAUAUAUUUGUAGUUGUUGCCGAAACUACCCUUAGGGCGUGUAUGGUAUGAUGGUAUGUGGGUAUGUGGGAACGGGAGAAUGAAUAUUUUAUUUCAAUCCUUAUUCUUUCUUAAAUAGGAAUUACUUUAGUGAUUCUAAUUCUUAUGUUUGAUUACAAUAAUAAUUUGUUUUCAUUUCAACGACAAAUAAAAAUGGAAAUGAAAAUUAAAAAUAUCCAUACAUGA
rnacentral:lncRNA from 1 species